rnacentral:ncRNA from 1 species
AAUAGGUUUAAUCCUGGCCUCAAAGCUUCAUUUACUUGUUCCACAUGAAACUCUUUGGGAGGAAUUAUCGCCGGGCAAAAUAUCUUAACAGUUUAUUCUCAGUGGAGGUUAUUAGGGAUUUAACUAAGUUAGUCCUAGCAGGGUGCCGAUCAAACUGGUGCCAGCAGUCGCGGUUAGACCUAAGGCAGGGAGCUUUAUUCUAACAAGAAAGAAGAAUAUUUAAGAUCACACUUAGAGGUAAAAUUCACACUUAGUUUCUUAGUUCUCUCAAUCAUUCUAAACCUUGGGUCAAAAAAGAGGAUUAGAUACCCUCCUAUUCUGUGGCCUGUUGAAGUAGGGUAGUAACUAGCUAUGUACUUCAAACCCAAAGGAUGUUGGCGGUGAUUUAACAGCCCAGAGGAACCUGCCGCGUAAUCGAUAACCCACGAAAAAUCUUACCUGAACAACGCUCGUAUACCGUCGUCUAGGCGGAGUUAAAAAAUAUCGCCAAGGUAGGAGACUAGGAUGACAGAUCAAGGUGCAGCAUAUUCAGGAGCAGGUGGGUUACAAUCCCUACUAGGGCUGGACCGGAAUUUUAACCCCUCCGUGAAAUAGGAUUUGGCAGUAAUUUUAGUUUAAUAAGCUAAGAUUAAGAUUGUAAUAAAUCACGCACAUAUCGCCCGUCACUCUCAUAGCUGAGAUAAGUCAUAACAAAGUAGAAGUGACCGGAAGGUGCUUCUUUAAUCUGACAAAAAUUAGAAUAAACUAUAGCCCUUAUCCUGUGGAAGAGUGAUACCCUUCUUAAGAACUUUAAAGGUUCUAAGGGUAUAAGGUUAACCAGAUUUUAAUGAGAAUCAAUUUAAUUAAAUAU